UACGUAGGGAGCAAGCGUUGUCCGGAAUCAUUGGGCGUAAAGCGCGCGUAGGUGGCCACAUAAGUCCGUUGUGAAAGUCAAAGGCUCAACCUUUGAAAGCCGAUGGAUACUGUGUGGCUAGAGUACAGAAGAGGCGAGUGGAAUUCCUGGUGUAGCGGCGGAAUGCGUAGAGAUCCGGAGGAACACCGACGGCGUAGGCAGCGCCCUGGCCGUUUCCUGACGCUGAUGCACGAAAGCUGGGGGAGCAAACAGG
rnacentral:rRNA from 1 species